GCAGUCGAGCGGAGAUGAGGUGCUUGCACCUUAUCUUAGCGGCGGACGGGUGAGUAAUGCUUAGGAAUCUGCCUAUUAGUGGGGGACAACAUUCCGAAAGGAAUGCUAAUACCGCAUACGCCCUACGGGGGAAAGCAGGGGAUCUUCGGACCUUGCGCUAAUAGAUGAGCCUAAGUCGGAUUAGCUAGUUGGUGGGGUAAAGGCCUACCAAGGCGACGAUCUGUAGCGGGUCUGAGAGGAUGAUCCGCCACACUGGGACUGAGACACGGCCCAGACUCCUACGGGAGGCAGCAGUGGGGAAUAUUGGACAAUGGGCGGAAGCCUGAUCCAGCCAUGCCGCGUGUGUGAAGAAGGCCUUUUGGUUGUAAAGCACUUUAAGCGAGGAGGAGGCUACCUGGAUUAAUACUCUAGGAUAGUGGACGUUACUCGCAGAAUAAGCACCGGCUAACUCUGUGCCAGCAGCCGCGGUAAUACAGAGGGUGCGAGCGUUAAUCGGAUUUACUGGGCGUAAAGCGUGCGUAGGCGGCUGAUUAAGUCGGAUGUGAAAUCCCUGAGCUUAACUUAGGAAUUGCAUUCGAUACUGGUCAGCUAGAGUAUGGGAGAGGAUGGUAGAAUUCCAGGUGUAGCGGUGAAAUGCGUAGAGAUCUGGAGGAAUACCGAUGGCGAAGGCAGCCAUCUGGCCUAAUACUGACGCUGAGGUACGAAAGCAUGGGGAGCAAACAGGAUUAGAUACCCUGGUAGUCCAUGCCGUANACGAUGUCUACUAGCCGUUGGGGCCUUUGAGGCUUUAGUGGCGCAGCUAACGCGAUAAGUAGACCGCCUGGGGAGUACGGUCGCAAGACUAAAA
rnacentral:rRNA from 1 species